CUGAAAAAGAAAAAUCCCUUCACUUUAUAACUGAGGAGAUAACACCAACAAGUCACUUCCAGCAGAGCUCAUGGCCACAGUGCAAGUUAAAAAAGAUGGCAGUAGCAGAAUUAGUGAAAGUAUUAGUCUUUGAUCUUUCUGAGAAGAGCAUAGAAGAAGUAAUGAUGUAAGCUGUCCUCUCUCUCUCCGCCUCGGCUACCUAAAAGGUGAGGAUACAACUAGAAGCCAGCAGUCUACAGGCUGGAAGAAGGCCCUCACCAGAACCCAACCCUUGGACUUCAGCCUCCAGAACUGGCCUUGGUGUACCUUGUUGUAGUGUUUGAAAACAUCUGAGGCUGCAUCCAUCUCCAGCACCCCAUAAAGCAACAGCUUGCAGAACCCGGCUAGGAGGCGGCGCCGCUGGUGUAGCCGCUCUAUCUGUAAAUGAUCCUCCUGGGAAUCACCUGGCUCACAUGGAAGGCAAAAGGGAAUCACAGACUUAAGCUUCCUGCCCUAUAUUUCUGAGCUACACCCAAGCCCCAGCCCUUACUGAGCCCCAGGUAUAGAGUCACUGCACCACUGCCCAGGUCUCCCGGCUGGAUGAAGACGUGGUCCAUGAGGAAGCUGGCUAGCUCAGACUGGAGAGUAGCUUCAGGAAAAAAGACAAGUGGCCUAAGGAAAUCACGGCCCCCAACAAUCAUCUGAGGGCUAAAGAUGAGAAGUAGAUCACUUAAUAAGACAAAAGCCUGUAGGGGGAAAAGAAAGGAUGUUUAAAAGGACAGAAUGUUUCCCAAGGUAGAAAUGACACUGUCAAUUUCUCCUUGGAAUGGGGGCAGGGAUACUCGCCUUGUUGCUCCCACUUGAGUCAGUACUCACCUGCUCCUGGAUCUCAGUAUCCACAUCUGAGAGGCAACUCUGGCAGAGUUCACAGAAGGCCACCAUUCUGUCCCUCAAACUCGACAGCUGCUUCUGUGGGCACAGUGGCUUGAAGGGGAAGAAUGAAGACACAGACUCCUCUGUUCCCAUUAUCCCAUCUAAGACCCACACUCACCUGGGAAGCAUCUGAUUUAGAAAUGUGGGUUAGUGUCCAGAGAAUGGAAAAAUAGACAAGAGUCAAGGCUGGCAGGAUAACCUGUAACAACAAAGGGUUUGAAAAAUGAGGUUUGGGUUAGGAGAGGGAGAGACAGAUAGCCAGAAACACACCAGUGAAGAGGAGAGAAAAUGAGUAAAGGGAGAGCUAAUUCCUUUUCCAGUGGAAAAUGAGUGAUAUUCUGGACAUUCUUCAGAGGCAUCUACACGAAGUAGAAAUGUCACCGCUCCCUAAUUUACUCUACGUCUUCUAGAAUCCCUCAAUAUUAUCCUUGGCUUCCAGGAAAUCCAAGAAGACCCUGGAAGUAGAGUCCACCUUCUAAGAGAGGAAUGUAAGAGGUGACCCCCACCCACCUGAUCUUCCUCGCUUUGUCCACUCCACGCACUGAGACUUGACACACCUAGUGGCCACCUAGAACGUAGGUCCUUAAAAUCUAGCCCCCCAGCCCCCAACCCAUCUCUAGCCUGUCCACUCACCUGGUGAGGAACCUCUCCUGUGUCCACAGCCUUCUGCAGGAGUUGGCAACAUGGCUCAUAGAGCUCCCAGCGAGUCAGGUCAUGAGUGCUUUGGGGGAGAAAGGGGAAUGUUAUACUGGAAAAGAACAGAGGGAACCAACUCCACAGACACCAGUAAAAACGGGAUGGGGAAGAGGAGGAAAGCCACUCACUUGUAGAAGGCAGAGAGGCGUUUCAGAGUGGCUGCCAGAUUAUAUACCUCAUCCUCAUCUAGGAAGGACGACUGAGAAGGAAAGAAGAUCCACAAUAGCAUUUCCCCCAGAACUCAUCAGUCCACAUCCCCCGUCUUGCAGCCCCUCCCACCCUUGUUUGGGGUGUCCCAUUGUCCAGCCCCAGCUCCUACCUGUAACAGCUCUUCAAGCUCCUGCUGGAAGCGGUCAGUCAGCAAAUCUACUAGCUGGCUGCGGGCAAAGUCCGCCCGGCUGAAGAAAGUGAAUUCGGGAUUACAGAGCAGGUAGAGGGCAUGCGCCCCAGCCUCAAGCACCGCUGGCUCUGCAUGCUUCACCACCACCUCCUGGAGUUGCUGCAGGAACAGCUCCAGGUGCUGAGAAGAAAAGGCAGAAGAUGGUGUGCUGUGGGGAUGGGAGGAGGACACUCUUCUGGCGGGAAGUGGAACGGGGUUAAAAG
rnacentral:lncRNA from 10 species